rnacentral:rRNA from 1 species
GGUUAAGCGACUAAGCGUACACGGUGGAUGCCCUGGCAGUCAGAGGCGAUGAAGGACGUGCUAAUCUGCGAUAAGCGUCGGUAAGGUGAUAUGAACCGUUAUAACCGGCGAUUUCCGAAUGGGGAAACCCAGUGUGAUUCGUCACACUAUCAUUAACUGAAUCCAUAGGUUAAUGAGGCGAACCGGGGGAACUGAAACAUCUAAGUACCCCGAGGAAAAGAAAUCAACCGAGAUUCCCCCAGUAGCGGCGAGCGAACGGGGAGCAGCCCA